rnacentral:tRNA from 1 species
GCCCAGAUGGCGAAAUUGGUAGACGCGCUGGUUUCAGGGACCAGUUCCCGCAAGGGAGUGCAGGUUCGACCCCUGUUCUGGGCA